AUAACAAUUAAUAAAUUAAAACUUUAUCAUAAUAAGGACACAAUAACAACUGGAAAAAUAAAAUAAAAGUUAUCUCUUAUCCAAUCUCUUAAUCCAAAGUCAAUAGGAACUGUUUAUUUUCGUUUGUAUUAAAAAAAAGAAUACGAAUUACAUAAAUAAAUCGUUCAGUCUCCACAGCAUAUAUUAGUUAUACAAAUUUCAUUAUUGGACGGUUAAAACGCUCCGAAACCCCGGGUCUACGAUAUUAAAUUUAUUUUUCAAAUUGUUUCCGUAUACAAUUCGCAAGUAUUCCUUCGGGGGUGACAAUAGUUCGUUACAAAAGCGACCGCGACAAAGUUUUUAGCCGUUUUAGCCGUGGAUUCGGGUGAAAAACGAAAAAGAGAGAAAAAAAAAGGCCAAUGUUUUACACAUAUUGUAUUCUAUAAUUUACUCGAUUAUACGAUUUGCAUUAUCACCAAGACAACGUGUGUCCAAAAUACCGGGCGUGGGUGUACAUAAAAAAUACGUACCUAUAUAUACGUCACUUUACCGCACGAGUAUAAUACUUAAAGCUUCUGUGUAGGAAGUUUUUAUUUUCUUCGACAACCCUCGAAACACACAAUAUAAUAUAAUAAAUAUAUAUAUACUCGGUUUUUUUUUUUUGUUUCUAUACAUAUAAUAAUAAUAUUGUUGUGUUGUAUUUUUAUUUUUUUCGACGUGUCCCGAAAACUUUCAUUACACAUAUUGGACAAUAUCGCGUCGCGGUCCCAAUACGCGGCGAAAAAUGAAAAACAGCACAAAGCUGAUGAACAAACAGAAUAAUAUUAUUAGUUUUUUUACAAAACUUCAAUAUUUUUUCAACAAUCGUAUCUCAACUCGAAUUGUGUAUACAUACGAGACUGUAUAUUAUAAUGUGCUCUAGUUGUUUAUCGAGUGCCGCGCAGUUCAAAUACAAGUUUUCGAUUGAACAUUGUGGGUAGACGCGCUUCUCUUAAAAAGACCACCGCGGCUUGUGCGAGUAAUUUUAUCCGAGUAUACAACCGUGUACUCGGAGUAUCAAUCGACCGGAGCGCAUCAUUUCUUUUUUUUUUUUUUUUUUAACGCGAAAACCGUUAUUACAUUAUACACGGGCGACAAAUCGCCUAAAACUCCCGCGAAAACCGUUAUCGUCUGAACGCACACUUAAAGGCUAUAUAAAUUGUACGCGGUAUAUUAUACGACGGCAUUUCGCGUGGAUUUUUAUCCGAACGUAUAUAAUAUUGUAUAGUUUCAUCGGUCCGAUAAAAUUUCAAGGCCGGACGAGUUUACGGACGCGAUAUAAUAUCACCUCGGUGCGGUCCGCAUUUAAUCGAAGAAAAACAUCCAAUGAGUUCACGACGGUUACAAAUUAUUCGUUUUAUUAAUUAAUUAAGUUAAUGUUAAUCUUUUUCGGAAGUUUUGUAAAACGUAUUAUUACAAAGUGACCGUGAAAAUUAAACAAUUAUACAAUGCUG